rnacentral:tRNA from 1 species
GCGAGAUGGCCGAGGCGUUCGCGACGACCGACCCUCACGGUCGGUACACGGCCUCCGCGCUGGAGCGCAACCGGCGUCGCGCGC